ACGGCUCAGUAACACGUCGGUAACCUACCCUCGGGAGGGGGAUAACCCCGGGAAACUGGGGCUAAUCCCCAUAGGCCUGAGGUACUGGAAGGUCUUCAGGCCGAAAGGGACUUAUGUCCGCCCGAGGAUGGGCCGGCGGCCGAUUAGGUAGUUGGUGGGGUAAUGGCCCACCAAGCCGAAGAUCGGUACGGGCUGUGAGAGCAGGAGCCCGGAGAUGGACACUGAGACACGGGUCCAGGCCCUACGGGGCGCAGCAGGCGCGAAACCUCCGCAAUGCGGGAAACCGCGACGGGGGGACCCCGAGUGCCGUGGCAACGCCACGGCUUUUCCGGAGUGUAAAAAGCUCCGGGAAUAAGGGCUGGGCAAGGCCGGUGGCAGCCGCCGCGGUAAUACCGGCGGCCCGAGUGGUGGCCGCUAUUAUUGGGCCUAAAGCGUUCGUAGCCGGGCCCGUAAGUCCCUGGCGAAAUCCCACGGCUCAACCGUGGGGCUUGCUGGGGAUACUGCGGGUCUUGGGACCGGGAGAGGCGGGGGGUACCCCUGGGGUAGGGGUGAAAUCCUAUAAUCCCAGGGGGACCGCCAGUGGCGAAGGCGCCCCGCUGGAACGGGUCCGACGGUGAGGGACGAAGGCCAGGGGAGCAAACCGGAUUAGAUACCCGGGUAGUCCUGGCUGUAAAGGAUGCGGGCUAGGUGUCGGGUGAGCCUCGAGCUCGCCCGGCGCCGUAGGGAAGCCGUUAAGCCCGCCGCCUGGGGAGUACGGCCGCAAGGCUGAAACUUAAAGGAAUUGGCGGGGGAG
rnacentral:rRNA from 1 species